GUUGCUCACUCUCCCUCAAAGGCUUCUAGCAAUGUCAGAAAUGGCGAGCUCGAAGCCUUUGGGGAGAGUAAACAA
rnacentral:pre_miRNA from 1 species